rnacentral:rRNA from 1 species
GCGCUUAACACAUGCAAGUCGCACGAGAAAGGGAGCAAUCCUAAGUAAAGUGGCGUACGGGUGAGUAACACGUGGAUCAUCUACCUUCUGGUGGGGAAUACCCCCGGGAAACUGGGGACAAUUCCGCAUAAGCUCUUACGAGGAAAGCAGCAAUGCGCCGGAAGAGGAGUCCGCGGCUGAUUAGCUUGUUGGCGGGGUAAUGGCCCACCAAGGCGAAGAUCGGUAGCCGGCCUGAGAGGGCACACGGCCACACUGGCACUGAAACACGGGCCAG